rnacentral:piRNA from 1 species
UACCCUCCCACAGAGCCGUCCCGGGA